rnacentral:lncRNA from 1 species
GUUCAUGCGAGCAGUGGAUAGCCAGGCAGCAGAAAGAAAUACAAGCACAACACAAGCAGUGUUCUUGAUUAGCACCAUGGCCCCGGCCGUCUCUAUUUAAACUUGUACAAGUACUCUUCCUUUCUGAAGGUAUAUGUUUGCCCAAAAAUCAAAUUGUGUAAACGAUCGAGAAAUCACUUGAAAAGGGCAAUUUUUCAUUUAUAGCAAGUUCUCUGAUGAGAAAAACCCAAGUCAAAAUUAACCAACGUAUUCAUUACAAGGAAUUAAAGUAUUCAUACCUAUAAAAUCCAAGGGUGGUAGCUUUACGUUUAUAGUAGCUACCGUUCCAACAACU